rnacentral:rRNA from 1 species
GACGAACGCUGGCGGCGCGCUUAACACAUGCAAGUCGAGCGAUGAAAUCUUAACAGAUCCCUUCGGGGUGAAGAUAAGACGGAUUAGCGGCGGACGGGUGAGUAACACGUGAGUAACCUGCCUUUUACACAGGGAUAGCCUCAGGAAACCGGGAUUAAAACCUGAUGAAACUAUCAAAUCACAUGAUUAAGAAAGUUAAAACUCCGGUGGUAAAAGAUGGACUCGCGUCCCAUUAGCUAGUUGGUGAAGGUAACGGCCCACCAAGGCAACGAUGGGUAGCCGGCCUGAGAGGGUGAACGGCCACAUUGGAACUGAGAAACGGUCCAAACUCCUACGGGAGGCAGCAGUGGGGAAUAUUGCACAAUGGGGGAAACCCUGAGGCAGCGACGCCGCGUGAGAGAAGAAGGCCUUCGGGUCGUAAAGCUCUUUUAUAUGGGAAGAUAAUGACGGUACCAUAAGAAAAAGCCCCGGCUAACUACGUG